AUUGAACGCUGGCGGAAUGCUUUACACAUGCAAGUCGAACGGCAGCACGGGGGCAACCCUGGUGGCGAGUGGCGAACGGGUGAGUAACACAUCGGAACGUGCCCAAUCGUGGGGGAUAACGUAGCGAAAGCUACGCUAAUACCGCAUACGAUCUACGGAUGAAAGCGGGGGAUCGCAAGACCUCGCGCGAAUGGAGCGGCCGAUGGCAGAUUAGGUAGUUGGUGGGGUAAAGGCUCACCAAGCCGACGAUCUGUAGCUGGUCUGAGAGGACGACCAGCCACACUGGGACUGAGACACGGCCCAGACUCCUACGGGAGGCAGCAGUGGGGAAUUUUGGACAAUGGGCGCAAGCCUGAUCCAGCCAUUCCGUGUGCAGGAUGAAGGCCU
rnacentral:rRNA from 1 species